GGGAUUGUUACGGAAAUCGACAGAUUGUUACGUAUAUUAAUUGCAAUUCGAUUGGGCACGUUAUGUCCGCAGAAAAAUAACUGCAAAAAAUACUAAUUCUUACGCACUAGCAGCUUAAUAACCUGCCGCGUUGCCACUUAUAAAUUCGCUCUUAAUUUAUAACUGGUUCACUUAAUGAGCUUACUAAUUAAAGUGCAUUUGGAAUUUUAAUUAGGAAAUUUACCCAAAUAACAAUUUAGUUUUGCUAUGUUGGCUAGCAACUUUAUUGUGAAAAUUAAUUGUCAACUAUAAUUGUAGAAGUUAAUAUGAACGAAUAGUUUGGACAGGGGUUCGACUCCCCUCAAUUCCAUGC
rnacentral:tmRNA from 1 species